CGGUGGGAAUACCCGGGAAACUGGGGAUAAUGUCCCAUAGGCUACGGAUACUGGAAUGUUCUGUAGUCAAAAGAUUUAUCGCCACAGGAUGGGUCUGCGGCCGAUUAGGUAGUUGUUGGGGUAAAGGCCCAACAAGCCUUUGAUCGGUACGGGUUGUGGGAGCAAGAGCCCGGAGAUGGAUUCUGAGACACGAAUCCAGGCCCUACGGGGCGCAGCAGGCGCGAAAACUUUACAAUGCGGGAAACCGUGAUAAGGGAACUCCGAGUGUCCGUAAAUUCGGACUGUCCGUAUGUUUAAAAAGCAUACGAAGAAAGGGCCGGGCAAGACCGGUGCCAGCCGCCGCGGUAAUACCGGCGGCUCGAGUGGUGGCCACUAUUACUGGGCUUAAAGCGUUCGUAGCUUGGUUGUUAAGUCUCUUGGGAAAUCUAUCGGCUUAACCGAUAGGCGUCCAGGGGAUACUGGCAAUCUAGGGACCGGGAGAGGUGAGGGGUACUUCAGGGGUAGGAGUGAAAUCCUGUAAUCCUUGGGGGACCACCUGUGGCGAAGGCGCCUCACCAGAACGGCUCCGACAGUGAGGGACGAAAGCUGGGGGAGCAAACCGGAUUAGAUACCCGGGUAGUCCCAGCCGUAAACGAUGCACGUUAGGUGUAUCGAUGACCACGAGUCAUCGA
rnacentral:rRNA from 1 species